rnacentral:lncRNA from 1 species
CAGAAAGUAGAAUAGGAUGAAUACAGAGGAAUGUGCAUCAGCAUCAACAAUGUCCAAGAGCAUAUCUGCUGGAAAGUGACAGAGGACAGACGGCUGCUUUCAAAAAGAGUCUGAGACAGCUGGUGAGAUCACUGAACCCGGCAGGCAGUAAGGGAGGAAGAGAUGGUUCUUGACCCCGGCAGGGCGGAGGUCAGAGCUGCAGCACCAGAGCUCUCAUGGAACUUCUGCAGGAUGAUACCAGGAAAGCUGAGAUAAACCACAGGCCAUUUGAAGGAACUGGAUUGCCGCUGCAGGCUCCCUGAGAUGCUGAAAACUGUAUUGUAUUAUUUUACAAAUUAAACAUAUGUGGCAACCAGCAUCAAGCAAACUAUUGGCACCGUUUUCCAACAGCGUUGGUAUCUCCGUGUCACAUUUUGUAUCUUCUCAGGCUAAUAAAAUUAAGACGUCUACUUCAGGUCAGAGAGACCACAAAACUCACCUGAGACAACUGAGCUAUUAAGAAGUGGAGGCCUCCAAACUUGGACUGAAAUCUGUACCAUCACCUCUCUGGCUCUCAAGUCUUUAAAUAACACCAUGAGGUUUCCUGGGCCUCCAUCUUGCAGACUGCUGAUUAUGGAAUUUCUAGCUUUCGUAAUUACAUGAGUCAAUGAACUUCUUCAUAUAUUUAUAGUUGGUUCUGUUUCUCUGCACAACCCUGACUACUUUAUUGGUCAACUUUAACAAUUCUGUAGACAACCUUAUUGUGAGAUGAGUAGGUUGUGAAAAUUUUAUCCAGAAUCUACAAUGAACUCAAAUUUACAAGAAAAAAACAAACAACCCCAUCAAAAAGUGGGUGAAGGACAU